rnacentral:rRNA from 1 species
AGUGAACGCUGGCGGUAGGCCUAACACAUGCCAGUCGAACGGCAGCACAGCAAGAGCUUGCUCUUACGGGUGGCGAGUGGCGGACGGGUGAGGAAUACAUCGGAAUCUACUUUUUCGUGGGGGAUAACGUAGGGAAACUUACGCUAAUACCGCAUACGACCUACGGGUGAAAGCAGGGGAUCUUCGGACCUUGCGCGAUUGAAUGAGCCGAUGUCGGAUUAGCUAGUUGGCGGGGUAAAGGCCCACCAAGGCGACGAUCCGUAGCUGGUCUGAGAGGAUGAUCAGCCACACUGGAACUGAGACACGGUCCAGGCUCCUACGGGAGGCAGCAGUGGGGAAUAUUGGACAAUGGGCGCAAGCCUGAUCCAGCCAUACCGCGUGGGUGAAGAAGGCCUUCGGGUUGUAAAGCCCUUUUGUUGGGAAAGAAAAGCAGCAGGUUAAUACCCCGCUGUUCUGACGGUACCCAAAGAAUAAGCACCGGCUAACUUCGUG